GGGGCUUUGGCUCAGCAGUUACUUCGACAAUGCUUUCCUUGGUGGAAAACAACCACUCUGUGUGGUUCGAGACCCGCGGGUGCUCUCUGGCCUUUAA
rnacentral:vault_RNA from 1 species